UUUUAUUCUUUCUGUUACCAGUUCACGAGUAUUUACUUUAUUCAACAGGAGAUAUAUGUAAUGGUUUGCAUUAUGAAGUGGAUUAUAUCUGUUUUCCAAUUUGGACUCAAAGUUUUGCACAUAAUCUAGAUAUGAAGUAUCAGCAUACACGGAGCUAUAAGUGUGAAUCUGUAUGGGAACAUCUGUUAUCAAUUCACUUAAGAAUUUUUGUGUGCAAAAGAAUGUCUGUUGCAAAUUUGUGUACAGAGUUAACAAAAUAUAUGUGUGUUCAUUUUGUGAUAUAAGGAGAAGAAUUUUGAGGCACAUCUGGAUUAAUUGGAACUGUGAUGAGAAAAGUGCGAAAUUUAUAUAAAAUAUGCAAUUCACCAAAGAUAUAAAUUGUGAAACUGUACUAAAUUCAACUCUACUGUAAAUGAGUUUUGUUACACAUGUCAUCAUGAUUAUAAACAAAAUAAAUAUCACUAAACAUGUA